CUUUAUAUCGCCCUCUAGCGGUAAAGUACUGUGUGUUUUUCCUCCCCGCUAGGGCAGUCCGCCUCUGUAUUGCAUAAAAACCACAUUGUUUUUGUCUUUCUUUUCAAGUGUUAUUGGUCUUAUGGUAACGUUUUUCAAAUGAUACCCAAAGGUUCUAUUGUUAGAUUCUUUAGUAUUUUUCUUUUCUUUUUGAUUUUGAUUAUUGCAUGUUUCUAAUGUACCAUGUAACGAAAGCGUUGUCUCUCAUGUAAGAAGGCCGCGUCUCCUGGGACAAAACUAAAUCAUUUCAGAUUCUCAGUCGACUUGACACCCUCUGCUCCAGUAAGAGACACUGAGGUCUCUCUACACUGCUUCAGCAUGGUGUGUGAGCUUUUCCUGCUCUCUUCUGUUUGGUUCCUCUUUGUCAUCUUCUGGAUGGAGACCAUAAGCGUCUGGCUUUUCCUCUGCAACUUUUACCAGGACCGUGUCUUCUAUCCUUGGGGAGAUGGAAUAUUUGCUGAUGACCCAAGUCACAUGCUCUACAUGCUAGGGAGAGUAGAAGGCCCAAGACAAAUGGAGACCUGAUAAAAGAUGGGGGAACGAGACGGAGGUGGCAGUGAGAGGAUAAAAGGUUCAGGAGGGUCACUCGUCCAUAUCGGAGACACUUUUUCUGAGCCCUCAGUGAUUCACUUCUCCCAGCACGCUUGUCACUUUAACAGAGGGCUGAGUGAGAUAAGUGUCAUAAAUAAUAACGCAAACACUGAAAAUCCCCACGCCUGUGUCCCUCUAGAACAUGGCUUUGAACACUCUUCACAAAGUGUGCUUGAGGUUUUCUGCAUCUGACCCUAAGACUAACAGACCUAAGGGUUCUUAUGUCACAACGAGGAACCGCAGUCCACAGUCACCGAAGAUUCUCCCAAGCUGUAAUCCACAGUUUCGGAUGUAUUCAUUUCAGUGACCUGGUGCAUCUGGGAUAAUUCCAUAAAUUAAACUUCUGGCUUCAUAAGAUGCAGAAAUGUUUUCUUUACAUUUAGGUUUAAAAAUCAUGCCAGCAAAUAAUGAUAUUUUGACCUAAGCAUGUCUAAGUAUAUAAGAUAACUUCUGUUUAGUUGAAACUUGUUGUUUCAAGUAGCGGUUACUUUUGUAACAUAGCAGUUCAUUCAUAUGUAAACAAACAGUUGGUUGGUUGUUUCCCGUUAGGAACCAGGCCAGCCAGUUAGUUUGUAGUAAUGUUCUGUGGGCUUGAAUCAUGCAGGAAAUUUUGUUGUUUGUGUAAAACUCUCCUGUUGCUCUGCUUGCACACUUAUUCUGAGUGCCAAUCUUCUGCUCUCAUGCCAAGCCAGUAUAUUCCAGCUCUCAAAAUUUUCUUUGAAAAAUGGAUCAAAUUUGCUGGACGUGGAUUGAGAUUAUAUUAUCAUGUCUAAAUUUGCUGUUUGUGUGUGUGUCCCACUUCUGAAAUGGAUUUUCUGCAAAUGGUGGUAAUACAGUCAUACAACCAAAA